AUUGAACGCUGGCGGCAGGCCUAACACAUGCAAGUCGAGCGGAUGAGUGGAGCUUGCUCCAUGACUCAGCGGCGGACGGGUGAGUAAUGCCUAGGAAUCUGCCUGGUAGUGGGGGACAACGUUUCGAAAGGAACGCUAAUACCGCAUACGUCCUACGGGAGAAAGCAGGGGACCUUCGGGCCUUGCGCUAUCAGAUGAGCCUAGGACGGAUUAGCUAGUAGGUGAGGUAAAGGCUCACCUAGGCGACGAUCCGUAACUGGUCUGAGAGGAUGAUCAGUCACACUGGAACUGAGACACGGUCCAGACUCCUACGGGAGGCAGCAGUGGGGAAUAUUGGACAAUGGGCGAAAGCCUGAUCCAGCCAUGCCGCGUGUGUGAAGAAGGUCUUCGGAUUGUAAAGCACUUUAAGUUGGGAGGAAGGGCAGUAAGUUAAUACCUUGCUGUUUUGACGUUACCAACAGAAUAAGCACCGGCUAACUUCGUGCCAGCCGCCGCGGUAAGAC
rnacentral:rRNA from 1 species